CCACAGUGCUUUACCCAGUUGUCAGCUGUUUAGAUCAAGUCAAGCAGCAUUAUUGGGACUAGCUCAUCUUGAAGCUCAAUUGAUCCUAAACCAGCUGGGAAACCACAACACCUAUUUAAACCCUUUUCUUCCCAGCUUCUUACAAGCAUUUCAGAAUUUACAGAAUGCAGCAAAUCUGUCCCUGUAUCAGCCUCCAAGACCUGCAGUAUUCCCAGUGCUAAAGAAUUCAAAUGCUCACGUUAACCCUGCAUCUGAGGACGUCUUCUCUUUAGACUUGAAAGAUGGAAUGGAGACCACCAAAGCCAAACAUCAGAGUGAUGUUUCUCAACAGCAGAAACUAGAUUCCUCUUUAAGUAAGGAUAAAAAGGUACCGCUGAGUUUAGGCUUAGACCAGAUGACACAAGCAGUGAUGAGUUAUACUGUGCAUCCUUCUGUAAAUCAGCGCAAAACUCCAAGAACAGUCCCUCUCAGUGCAUCAUCAACGUAUAAAUCAAGGAAAGACUGGAGGAAACCAUACAGAGGUUCAGCUCACUCAAAAAGAAAUCAUCACACUAGUGGACUUCGAGAUAAGCACCACAAGGAGUGGCAGGAACAUCAUUCUCCAUCCCAUUCUGUAUCUCCGACGCCUUCAUGGUCUCCCAGCCCUCCACCCUUUAGCCACCAAAUACGCUCCCAAAGCCCUCAAAGCUCUGGUAGAUACAGCCCUUCUGAUCUUGUAUAUGGAUCCUCUUCUUCUGAACAUGGACCUUCAGAAAAGAAGGGAGAACAUCCAGGUCAUGAGAAUUUGACGAAUAAGCAUGUGGACGUCAUUAAGCGAAAAGUUGGUCCAAAUCCAAAUGGAAAAGGGC
rnacentral:lncRNA from 1 species